rnacentral:rRNA from 1 species
UACGUAGGUGGCAAGCGUUGUCCGGAAUUAUUGGGCGUAAAGCGCGCGCAGGUGGUUUCUUAAGUCUGAUGUGAAAGCCCACGGCUCAACCGUGGAGGGUCAUUGGAAACUGGGGAACUUGAGUGCAGGAGAGAAGAGUGGAAUUCCACGUGUAGCGGUGAAAUGCGUAGAUAUCAGGAGGAACACCGGUGGCGAAGGCGGCCCUCUGGACGGUGACUGACGCUGAGACGCGAAAGCGUGGGGAGCAAACAGG